rnacentral:rRNA from 1 species
CAGGCCUAACACAUGCAAGUCGAGCGGCCGUAGCAAUACGGCAGCGGCAGACGGGAUAGUAACACAUGGGAACGCGCCCUUCGGUUCGGAAUAACUCAGGGAAACUUGAGCUAAUACCGGAUACGCCCUUACGGGGAAAGAUUUAUUGCCGAAGGAACGGCCCGCGUCGGAUUAGCUAGUUGGUGAGGUAAUGGCUCACCAAGGCGACGAUCCGUAGCUGGUCUGAGAGGAUGACCAGCAUCACUGGGACUGAGACACGGCCCAGACUCCUACGGGAGGCAGCAGUGGGGAAUAUUGGACAAUGGGCGCAAGCCUGAUCCAGCCAUGCCGCGUGGAUGAUGAAGGCCCUAGGGUUGUAAAGUCCUUUUAACGGGGAAGAUAAUGACGGUACCCGUAGAAUAAGCCCCGGCUAACUUCGUGCCAGCAGCCGCGGUAAUA